rnacentral:rRNA from 1 species
GUGGCGAACGGGUGAGUAACACGUGGGCAAUCUGCCCUUCACUCUGGGACAAGCCCUGGAAACGGGGUCUAAUACCGGAUACUGACCCUCGCAGGCAUCUGCGAGGUUCGAAAGCUCCGGCGGUGAAGGAUGAGCCCGCGGCCUAUCAGCUUGUUGGUGAGGUAAUGGCUCACCAAGGCGACGACGGGUAGCCGGCCUGAGAGGGCGACCGGCCACACUGGGACUGAGACACGGCCCAGACUCCUACGGGAGGCAGCAGUGGGGAAUAUUGCACAAUGGGCGAAAGCCUGAUGCAGCGACGCCGCGUGAGGGAUGACGGCCUUCGGGUUGUAAACCUCUUUCAGCAGGGAAGAAGCGAAAGUGACGGUACCUGCAGAAGAAGCGCCGGCUAACUACGUGCCAGCAGCCGCGGUAAUACGUAGGGCGCAAGCGUUGUCCGGAAUUAUUGGGCGUAAAGAGCUCGUAGGCGGCUUGUCACGUCGGUUGUGAAAGCCCGGGGCUUAACCCCGGGUCUGCAGUCGAUACGGGCAGGCUAGAGUUCGGUAGGGGAGAUCGGAAUUCCUGGUGUAGCGGUGAAAU